UACGAAGGGGGCUAGCGUUGUUCGGAAUUACUGGGCGUAAAGCGCGCGCAGGCGGUUCUCCAAGUCAGUGGUGAAAGCCCGGAGCUCAACUCCGGAACUGCCAUUGAAACUGUUGACUUGAGGAACGAGAGAGGUGAGUGGAAUUCCCAGUGUAGAGGUGAAAUUCGUAGAUAUUGGGAAGAACACCAGUGGCGAAGGCGACUUACUGGACACAUAUUGACGCUGAGGUGCGAAAGCGUGGGGAGCAAACAGG
rnacentral:rRNA from 1 species